rnacentral:misc_RNA from 1 species
AGCUGAGCUAUCCCGACCAUUCCCUGUGUAGUAACCCAUACUCAUUUUAUUAUUUUAGUCAAUUACUGGGGUCUAUGUCAAUUAAAGGGAAAGGGUAGAUUAGAAAUUUUUCGCCAAGUCCUUUGAUCUUCAAAAAGAACACUUUUAAAGUUUCAGUAUUCGUAAAGCUAUUUAUUGAUGGUGAAUUAUUUAAAUCGGGAUUUUUUGCUAAAUUAGGACGUGUAUUCUAUAUUACAUGGGCAAAGAGAAAGUCAUUUACGUCCGCCUACAUUUGCAAAGAAUCUGAAAAAAAACCAAUUUGUAACCGAAAGAAAGAGGGGAAAGAAAGGUAAGGUUAGGAUGAAUAUUUUGGGAGUCAAAUAAGCUUGGUUGGGGAUAGAGGGACUUUGAACGGAUUUUCCUCUUACUAUAAAUUUCAUUGUUGUCGGCAUUGACAUGUCGGAGAGGACUCUAUCUUUAUUCUUGUCCAAUUGAUCAGUUCUUGAAAAGGUUUAUCGGACUAGGGAGUGAAUGAUUUGAUGAAUAAAAAUUCUAGUUUUGCUUCAAUGGCGAAGGAAUUCACACCAAUUCUUUUAUUUUUCAUAUAUCUCAUAUAAAAAUAAUACAUCUAGAGAUUCAGGCCAUGAUUACUCGUUUGAUAUAGUAUUCAAUAGGUAGGUUUAUCUUUGAUCUUUUCUCACGUUUCGGUGGAAAGAUUCCGCCCCCAUUUCCUAGAACAACUUCCAUUGAGUCUCUGGACCUAUCCUUUUUUUUUUCUGUUUAUGAACCUUUCUUUUAAGAAAACAGGAUUUGGCUCAGGAUUGCCCUAUUCCGGGGUUUCCCUGAAUUUGAAAGUUAUCACUUAGUAGGUUUCCAUAC